AUAACGGCGACCGUGAAGACUUUUAAAAUAGAGACCAACGUGGCCGGGCAGGAAGAGCAGGGUCCCGCCUUCAGGUGUUUGGGACUCAGCUGAGGGUGUGGGUGCCCCGCGGUGGGGGCUGAACCUUCCUGGGGUGUGGAGAGACGAAAGGAGCCCAGAUCCAAGUUCCCUCGUUCCCGCUUUGGCAUAAGUUGCCCUGGCGGUCUCAUGAGAGAGAGAAAGAGCUGGGACCCUCCUCGCCCCAGUGAGUGUGAUGUCUUGCUCCGGGUGUCCUGGGGCAACUUUCUAUACAGGCGGGACGUGGGAGGAUCAGACAGUGUAACAUCAGACAAGGGUGUUGACUCUGCAGCACAGAACCAGUAGUUUGUGGAGAAGAAUGGAGGUGUGGUGUUGAAUCUGCUAGACAGGCUACUGAAGCAAAAGUCAAGAGAUCCAGAUUCCAUCAUGGGGACACUUUAGUUCUUCAUCGGGUAAUUGAGCUGAUAUCAGGUGUCUGAAGGAGGCAAGUUUUGAAGAUGUGGGUCAUGAUGGCUGCUGAAGCUUCCACUCCAUAUUUGAAGGUCAGCAGUUCUCAGGAAACCUCUAGCACUUCCAUCCCUGGUGGGAUGUGAUGCCUGUCUCAGUGUAACAUCAGAGAAGGGGUGUACUCUGUGCCCUAGAACUAGGAGCUAACAGAGAAAAACCAAAUGUGAUGUGGAGUCUGCUAGACAGGCUACUGGAGCAAGAGUGAAGCGAUGAAAGUCUCAUCAUUGGGACAUAUUAGUGUGACAUGCAUAAAGGAAUUUCUUAUUGAGCCCCAGGAAGAAGAAACACUACAUAAGAGCAAAUAAUAAAAUCGGUCAGAUAGACAGAAGAUGGGAGUCAUCAAACCUGUAUCCCUCUUGCCAGACCUAUCAACUGACCAUACGUCAUUCAGGAGGCAGCAGGUGGCUGAAAUCCUGGUGUGAUGUGGCUGGAUCAUGCAUGAUCUGAGGACUCCUGCACAGGUGACUGCAGGAUGAGUACAGAAUUUUUCUAUAAAUAUACUAAAAUACCAAGUAAGCCAGGAGCAGCCACUAGGCAAACACCAAACCUUGCAUUCCUGGCCAAACCUAUCACAGAGCUCAUCAGAUGCAGUGGAUCCCCAGGUUGCAAGUCAUAUAACCUGAGCAUGCCCAGAUGAACCAAGUAUGCCUGAUUGGUGAACCUGGAACUGGCCAGAACAGAAAAUGUCAACCACAUGUGGAAUCUAAGUAUUCAGAUUGAGAAAUGAGGACCAAAAUGAGAACACUGAGCUCCUCACACAGGUGACUGAACCCGUGGUUUUGGUGUCUGAGAAGAUGCAGCUUCUCCAGUCUCUGCAACUGACGGCAGGAAGAUGGGAGCACUCAGCUUCAGUGUUCAGAAGCAGAUUUAGGCCAAUUGCCAUACCUUACGUUCUGGAGGGAUCCACCCUGACCUGAGCAGAAGGCAUCACACACAUUCCCAAGCAGCAUGGUUCCCGUGAGAAACUGAAAACUAAUUUCUUGAAUCUACAAUGCGACUUCCAUCUUCCAGGUGUAACCAGAGUUUUUCCUGGAGCGAUUCCAGCUUGUUUCCUUUUGGUGCCUUCCUUAAGAAAUUUUGCAGCUGUUUCUGGUGCAGUUUUUGGGUGGGCUCUGGGGUGGGCAGACGAUCUCCACUUUGCAGAGGCUGCUCUUGUGAGUGGAGCUGGUGGUGAGGGAGUAGGAGAGGCCUCGCAUCAUCCUGGCAUUCAGGCCCUUAGCCAUGGAGAAGGACUUGAGGUGGCUUCUUAAGGUACUGGGGAGCGGGAGCUUGUCCACCAGAUGCACAGGUGUGCAGGACACGAUGGUGCGGCAGCAGAGGUCUUGCAAGCUCAGUACCUUGCUCGGCCUCCCGAGCCAAUUCAUCCUGUGCCGCAGCAGCACUAUCCUGGCCAGCUCCGUGAAAGACUCUAUGAUGUUGAAAUUGCACAGAGGGCUGACCUCAAAGAAGGUCACACCCAGGCGCUCGGCGUAGGCCUGGGCCUGCUCCCUGGGCACCUGCCUCUUGAAUGCCAGAUGUAGGCGAUUCCCCACCAGGAUUUUAGGGACACCAGGGGCAUGUUCCUCAAUCUUCUUAAUCCAUCGAUCCAUACCCUCGAAAGACCAGCGGUUUGCAAUGUCGUAGACCAGGAUCACUCCUUGUGCACCACGAGAGUAGGAGCGGAAUAUGGUACAAAAUCUUCCCUGCCCCGACGUAUCCCAGAGCUUCAGCUUCACCCGCUGGCCGUCCAGCAGGAUGGUGGUCGUCUUGUAGUCGAUCCCCCCGAGAUGGCUGUACGGGGACUCAGCUGCACCAUCCUGCAGGCUCUCCAGGAUCUCACUCUUGCCUACGUCCCUGUCGCCCACCAGCAGGAACUUGAGCAGGAAGUCAUAGGCCUGGUCGGGGCUGCCCGGGGCGCUCAUGGUGCUGGCCCCGCACUCCCGCCUGAGCCAGGCCCGCGGGGUUGUGCGCAGAGGUGGUGCCGGGCCUGUUCUUCUUGAGAAAUUAGCAUAGAACAUAAAAAAUGAGAUGGGGAAGUCUGUGAAAUAAAGCGAAAUGAGGUGGUGGC
rnacentral:lncRNA from 1 species